rnacentral:misc_RNA from 1 species
CGAUGAUCCCCGAAUUGUUCGAUGUCGCAUUGCCGAGACCGCUGGCUGAGGUGUCGAGCAUGUCGGCAUUGAUGCCGGAGUUCGUCGCGGUGACGUUGCCGUCAACGCUNGUGGUGAUGCCGUUGCUCAGGCCCGAACUGGUGGUCGUCAGAUUGAAUGUGCCGAGUUGAUCCUGAAGAAACGGAACGGCUGCCACGCCGGUGUUUGUGCAGGUGACAUCGCUCGCGCCGAGCGUCCCGACGCAGGCAAACUGCGCAUGUGCGUCCCUGGAUGGCAGGGU